GAUGAACGCUGGCGGCGUGCUUAACACAUGCAAGUCGAACGAUGAAGCCCAGCUUGCUGGGUGGAUUAGUGGCGAACGGGUGAGUAACACGUGAGUAACCUGCCCUUGACUCUGGGAUAAGCCUGGGAAACUGGGUCUAUUACUGGAUAUGACUUCUCAUCGCAUGGUGGGGGGGGAAAGAUUUAUUGGUCUUGGAUGGACUCGCGGCCUAUCAGCUUGUUGGUGAGGUAAUGGCUCACCAAGGCGACGACGGGUAGCCGGCCUGAGAGGGUGACCGGCCACACUGGGACUGAGACACGGCCCAGACUCCUACGGGAGGCAGCAGUGGGGAAUAUUGCACAAUGGGCGCAAGCCUGAUGCAGCGACGCCGCGUGAGGGAUGACGGCCUUCGGGUUGUAAACCUCUUUCAGUAGGGAAGAAGCGAGAGUGACGGUACCUGCAGAAGAAGCGCCGGCUAACUACGUG
rnacentral:rRNA from 1 species